rnacentral:tRNA from 1 species
GCCCAGCUAGCUCAGUUGGUAGAGCACUUCCAUGGUAAGGAAGGGGUCUCCGGUUCGAGUCCGGAGCUGGGCU